rnacentral:rRNA from 1 species
GGCGGGGGCACGGGGGGCUCCUACGGGAGGCAGCAGUGGGGAAUAUUGGACAAUGGGCGAAAGCCUGAUCCAGCCAUGCCGCGUGUGUGAAGAAGGUCUUCGGAUUGUAAAGCACUUUAAGUUGGGAGGAAGGGCAUUAACCUAAUACGUUAGUGUUUGACGUACCGACAG